rnacentral:lncRNA from 1 species
CAUUUUUUAAAGUAGAGAAUUCCCCCGCACAUCGGAACUGAGGGAGUGAGGGAAGGGGGAUAAAAUAUCCAUGAUGGCCGCUUCCACUUUUCAGCCUCUACCUCCAAAUCUAUUCGCCGACAUAAAGCAAAUAGACACUUACACCGCACCCGAGCAGUUCACAUUUUCUAUCUCUGUGAUUUCGGUAGUUCCAGAGUGCACAGUCGAAUAUUGUGUGUUGUGCUUCUCGUUUUCAACAACAAGAAUUGUGGAUUUUUUCAUUCUCGAGCUAAAUUAAAUGUGUUUAAAUGAUUGGCAACAUGUAACUCUUGAAUUUGUGAGAAUGUCCUUCUUUUUGAACCGCCAUUUAAUCAGUACUACCUGUUUCACCUGAAACUUACAGGAUGCCGUCGGCUCCAGCUCAUAAUUAUGAGGCAGAUAGCAUUUCAAAAAUCUCAUGAAUCGUUAGGUCGUCGUAGUGUUUUGUAUGACUAUAAAUUUACGUAAGCUGAAAUUCAACAUCCUCUAUGACUUGAUUUUGUGCGCCAGAUCCCAUACUACGCCAAAUCAUUUCACCUGCAUUCCAGCAAGUGAAAAGCUAAACUUGAUGCUUUGACCAGUUUCGACAUGAACGGCAGACUGGUUAAGACAAGAGUUUCACGAUCCUGCUCGUUCCUGCGUUGGGUAAACUUGUUAUGC